rnacentral:rRNA from 1 species
UACGUAGGGGGCUAGCGUUGUCCGGAAUCAUUGGGCGUAAAGAGCGUGUAGGCGGCCCGGUAAGUCCGCUGUGAAAGUCGGGGGCUCAACCCUCGAAUGCCGGUGGAUACUGUCGGGCUAGAGUGCGGAAGAGGCGAGUGGAAUUCCUGGUGUAGCGGUGAAAUGCGCAGAUAUCAGGAGGAACACCGAUUGCGAAGGCAGCUCGCUGGGACGUCACUGACGCUGAGGCGCGAAAGCGUGGGGAGCAAACAGG